CAGGUUGUUCCAGCGUCGGGAGUUUGACAGCGUAACGGAAUGAAUCUUCACUGCGGUCCCAGUUUCAGGGUCAUCUCUCCAGAGUACCCGUUGAUAAUCCACAUCUGAUUCCGAGAUCUUCACUUGCCGAUACAUUUUGGCUAUGUCAGACGUGAGACAAACGGGGAGGCAUCGUACACUACCCGUACCUUCGUCGUUUCCCUGUCUUCUCGUAUGACUGCGUGAUGGGGUAAGUAUAUCGCCAAUGGAUUGUCAACUUGAUCAUCAGGUACAAGUUCCAUGUGAUUCAGAUCUAUGUAUUCUUGCAUCACUUCAGAGUACUUCUCUCUCAAGGCUUCAUUCUUCAUGAAUUUCCGUUCCAACGAAAGAAAUCUCCUUUCAGAUAUCUCCCUGGAGUUGUCUACACAAGGAGGAUCAUUCUUCAAGGGAAGUCGAACUACAUAUCUCCCUUCCUCGUCUCUUGAAGUUGUCUUUGUGAAUAUCUCCUCACAUCUUUUUUCUUCCUCUGUAAACAUUUUUUCUCUUUUUAUUUCAGGUUCCGCUUCCAGUUCCCAGAACUU